rnacentral:rRNA from 1 species
UACGUAGGUGGCAAGCGUUAUCCGGAAUUAUUGAGCGUAAAGAGCGCGCAGGUGGUUAAUUAAGUCUGAUGUGAAAGCCCACGGCUUAACCGUGGAGGGUCAUUGGAAACUGGUUGACUUGAGUGCAGAAGAGGGAAGUGGAAUUCCAUGUGUAGCGGUGAAAUGCGUAGAGAUAUGGAGGAACACCAGUGGCGAAGGCGGCUUCCUGGUCUGCAACUGACACUGAGGCGCGAAAGCGUGGGGAGCAAACAGG